rnacentral:lncRNA from 1 species
GAUUUUCAAGCUCUUGACUAAUUUGAUCAAUGACUCCAAAAAAAUUCUCUUCUAAAGUGAUCUCCGGCCCUCUUCAUUUUACAACAAAUCUGCAAGAAAACGACUUUCUCUCAAUAAAGCUAAUUGAGGCCUAAAUGAUUUGCAGAAUUAUGUAUAUGUUCUUCAUGUAGUGGAUAGCAUAGUUCAAAAAAGCAAACUCUAAAUCAGAAAUUUGUGUAUUUCGGUACCUUAAAUCAGGCAGGGUAUUCUGGUUUUGGCCAGAUUUGCAGCAGGGGGCGAGGCCGCGAGGGCAGGGGCGCCAGCAGUCCCGGCAGCCGGCCGACGGCAGGGGCGCAGCCGCUCGCUGGAGCAGGGCUG